CCGCGCAGCCGGGGAGUUAGCGGUGCCCUGUACUCGCAAUCCGCUCUAGCGAGGGUGAUGUUUUACCCCGGAUAGUCUUUUGUAGGGCUGCCCCUGAAAAGUGGCGAUGACGUUUGGGUCUUGCGCAACAGAACUCCAUGAACCGUGUCAGGGCGGGAACGCAGCAGCACUAAGUGGAACCCUCUGUGUGCCGUAAGGCAGCCUGGACUGAGUUAACUGUCAGGGUAACGCUUAUGAAAGCUAUUCAAAGUAAAACGCGCGG
rnacentral:SRP_RNA from 1 species